GCAAGCUUAUGAUGCAAAAUCUAUCACUUAUACUACAAACCGAAUUAAAUGUGGACAAUAUCUCCGCUUAUUAUCUGAAGCUAGC